AUGAGCGACCUGCCUCGUUGUGACGUAUGUCCGGUCUGGUUCUGCUUCCGGCACGUGAACAUGGCGACCCCAGUGCCGCUCUUAGCAGUUUGUGAGUCGGACAGGACGUCGCUGCUUUGCGGCCCGCCGACCUUCCGGGAACACCCCACCUUCCCCAGAGAUGGCGGCGGGAGCCGGAACUUGACGUUCAGCCGUGACGGUUCACUGUUGGCGUGGUGCAACGGACACGGCGUUUCGGUGGUGCGGACGUCGGACGGCUCCUCGGUGGCCACGUUGGCGCUGCCCAAGACGACGCUACUGCGGUUCUCGCCUCUCGCCGACAUCCUGGUCACCUGGCAGCCGUACACCAAGAGCGCCGAGGCGGCUCAGGGCGACGCCAACCUUCGGCUGUGGGAGCUGCCCGGCGCUGGCCUGCGCAAAGCUUUGUUCCAGAAGAAGGCAGAAGCCUGGUGUCCCAGCUGGUCUCAAGACGAGAAAGUGGCCGUGAGAAUUGUCAGCAACGAGCUGCACUUCUUUGAGGACAACGACUUCAACGUCAUCGCCAACAAGCUUCACGUGCAGAAAAUUUCCAACUUUGAGCUUUCACCGGGAAGUCACCCUUUCAAGGUGACCACCGAAAUGCCGGCCUGGUCUCGGGGGGCCGCCUCCUUGUCCUUCCUCAUUGUUCCUGUGUGUGAGUGUCGCUGUUCGCGUGUCAGGUGUGCGUAUACGUCCCGGGCAACAAAGGGCUGCCGUCCUUUGUGCGAGUGUUCCAGUACCCGCAGUUUGGAGGACCUGGUGCCGCUCUGGCCACCAAGAGCUUCUUCAAGGCUGACCGUGUCAACAUGCUAUGGAACAAAAAAAGCGUCGGCCGUGCUGGUGACAGCGAGCACCGAGGUGGACAAGAGCGGAGCGUCGUACUACGGAGAGCAGACGCUCCACUACCUCCACGUCGGCGGAGAGACGGCGCUGGUUCAGCUGCCCAAAAAUGGUCCCAUCUACGACGUGGCGUGGAGUCCAAACUCCAGCGAGUUCUGCGUGGUUUACGGCUUCAUGCCGGCCAAGGCCACCGUCUUUAACCUCAAGUGUGACCCCGUGUUCGACUUCGGGACCGGACCUCGCAACGCCGUCUACUACAGCCCGCAGGGUCACAUCCUAGUCCUGGCCGGAUUUGGGAAUCUUCGAGGUCAGAUGGAAGUUUGGGACGCCAAGAAGUACAAACAGGUGUCCAAAUGUCAGGCUCCAGACGCCACUCACUUCUCUUGGUGUCCCGACGGCGAGCACGUGGUCACGGCGACGUGCGCGCCUCGCCUGCGCGUGGGCAACGGCUUCAAGGUGUGCCACUACACGGGCGCCGUGGCGCACGAGCAUCAGACGCCCGCCGGGAGCGAGCUGUGGGAGGUCCGCUGGCAGUCCUUCCCGGACGGAACCUUCCCCGAGCGACCGGUCCGCCGCCAGACGCCGGCCGCCCGGACGGACGCGCCCGCUCAGGCCUACAGACCGCCCGCCCUCAGGCACCUGCCGGCUGCUCCCACUUCCAAGCUGCACGAGGAGGAGGCGCCUCAGAAUGCGCGUCAGUCCGACAAGGCUUUGUCCAAAGCGGCGCUGAAGAAUCAGAAGAAACGAGAAGCAAGAAAAGCUGCCAAGCAGGAGAGCAAGCCCGAGGCCCAGCUGCCCUCUGACCCCGCCCCCAUCACCGACAGCCAAUCGACAGAGACCUGCGGCGACCUCGAGACGGACAGGAAGAUCAAGAACGUCAAGAAGAGGACGGCGAUCUGCACCGGUGGCCUCGGAUGUUCCGUGCUCGGUCCUAACGUGUUUGUGCUCGCUUGUUGUCGCAGAAGUUGAAAGCCAUCGAGGAGCUGAAGGAGCAACAAGCGUCUGGAAAAGUUCUGCAGAAGAACCAGCUGGAGAAGAUGCAGAAGGAGGAUCAGCUGCUGGAGGAGCUCCGAAAACUGCACCUGCAACCCUGACGCACGCAAGCAGUUUGCCGAGGAUUGUGGGAAGAAAUGGCAAAGGUGUCGCUUCCGCGUUACACUUUCACAAUAAAAGCCUCUUUUCAGUG